GAACUGCGAUAAGUAAUGUGAAUUGCAGAAUUCAGUGAAUCAUCGAGUCUUUGAACGCACAUUGCGCCCCCUGGCAUUCCGGGGGGCAUGCCUGUCCGAGCGUCAUUGCUGCCCUUCAAGCCCGGCUUGUGUGUUGGGUCGUCGUCCCCUCCGGGGGACGGGCCCGAAAGGCAGCGGCGGCACCGCGUCCGGUCCUCGAGCGUAUGGGGCUUUGUCACCCGCUCGAUAAGGACCGGCCGUGCGCCAGCCGGCGUCUCCAACCUUUUUUUCUCAGGUUGACCUCGGAUCAGGUAGGGAUACCCGCUGAACUUAAGC
rnacentral:misc_RNA from 1 species